UACAGAGGGUGCGAGCGUUGUCCGGAAUCACUGGGCGUAAAGGGCGCGUAGGCGGCUCAGUAAGGUUGCGGUGAAAGCCCGGGGCUCAACCCCGGGUCGGCCGUGGCAACUGCUGGGCUGGAGCACUGUAGAGGCAGGUGGAAUUCCGGGUGUAGCGGUGGAAUGCGUAGAGAUCCGGAAGAACACCAGUGGCGAAGGCGGCUCACUGGACUGGUAUUGACGCUGAGGUGCGAAAGCGUGGGGAGCAAACAGG
rnacentral:rRNA from 1 species